CUGGCUUAUAACAGAAAAUGAAUACAGUGUAUAUAACUUAAUACACUCAAACCCAUCCGGCCAGAACAAAGUGAAUAUUCAUGAUGAGCCGUUGCAGACCUGACUUCAUAGCAGCAGAGUGGUGUAAAACAAUCUCAUUUUUGUUCUUCUGAGCGACAGCUAACUCAACGACACUCGCAUUUUAUUUCACAACACAGUUCUCUUCCAGGCAUAAAAUAAUGCCAAAAAUAUAAUGUUUCUACCACUCACUGUAUAUUAGGAUCCAUGGUGGGAUUUGGACGUGUAUAUGGAGGACGUGAUGCUGUAUUUUGGAGUUCAUUGGCAAGGUGACUUCGUCGUGGGUCAUCUCACCUCUGAUUGGAGCAGCAGUGUCAUUUCUUGUCUACAAAUGCAUUGGCAGGUGCUCAAAAUCCAGGGCAAGUAGCUGCUGCUGCAGCAGCACCAAUUGGUGUCUUUAUUGCUGUUACUGGAAUCUCUAUUGUAGCUUUCCCUCUAAGAAAGAUUCUCUCUAAAGCUAUUCUCCAAGCUCUAGCACUUGGCACUGCUGGAGCUUUCCUGUUUGACAGAUGUAUUCGUAAACAGCUUGGUCACCUCCUCAUGGAGUCCAGUUUAACACAACCAGAUCCAAAGGAUUUGCUGCUGAAUUUGCAGCUGCUUCUGUGGUUCUGUUUGCAUCAAAUCUCGGACUACCUAUUUCUGCAACUCAUACACUGGUUGGUGCAGUCAUGGGUGUAGGGGUUGCCAGGGGACUUAACAGCGUAAGAGCAGAAACAGUGAAAGAGAUCGUGACGAUUCCUGUUGGUGCUACAUUUACAAUUAUUUACACAUGGAUCUUGAACAGGCUUUUAUCAUAUGUUCUGUAAGAAUUGAGUGUACAUUUAAAAAAAUUUAAAUGUAUCGAUGCUUAAUGAUUUAAA